rnacentral:rRNA from 1 species
ACGGGUGAGUAACACGUAGGAACCUGACUUUAAGAGGGGGACAACCAAGGGAAACUUUGGCUAAUACCGCGUAAUUUCGAGAGAGUAAAGCUGCCGCAAGGUGGCGCUUAAAGAGGGGCCUGCGCCCGAUUAGCUAGUUGGUGAGGUAAUAGCUCACCAAGGCGAUGAUCGGUAACUGGUCUGAGAGGACGACCAGUCACACUGGGACUGAGACACGGCCCAGACUCCUACGGGAGGCAGCAGUGGGGAAUAUUGGACAAUGGGGGCAACCCUGAUCCAGCGAUGCCGCGUGAGUGAAGAAGGCCCUCGGGUCGUAAAGCUCUUUAGGUUGGGAAGAAGUGUAGUAGAGGAUAAUGCUAUUACAUUGACGGUACCGACAGAAUAAGCACCGGCAAACUCUGUGCCAGCAGCCGCGGUAAUACAGAGGGUGCAAGCGUUAAUCGGAGUUACUGGGCGUAAAGGGCGCGUAGGCGGUUUGAUGAGUGUGAUGUGAAAGCCCCGGGCUUAACCUAGGAAGCGCAUCGCAAACGAUUGAACUGGAGUAUAUGAGAGGGUGGCGGAAUUUCCGGUGUAGCGG